rnacentral:rRNA from 1 species
ACGGAAGGCAGCAGUGGGGAAUAUUGGGCAAUGGGGGAAACCCUGAUCCAGCGACGCCGCGUGAGUGAAGAAGUAUUUCGGUAUGUAAAGCUCUAUCAGCAAGGAAGAAAAUGACGGUACUUGACUAAGAAGCUCCGGCUAAAUACGUGCCAGCAGCCGCGGUAAUACGUAUGGAGCAAGCGUUAUCCGGAUUUACUGGGUGUAAAGGGAGCGUAGACGGCAAAGCAAGUCUGAAGUGAAAUCCCGGGGCUCAACCCCGGAACUGCUUUGGAAACUGUUUAGCUAGAGUGCAGGAGAGGUAAGCGGAAUUCCUAGUGUAGCGGUGAAAUGCGUAGAUAUUAGGAGGAACACCAGUGGCGAAGGCGGCUUACUGGACUGUAACUGACGUUGAGGCUCGAAAGCGUGGGGAGUAAACAGGAUUAGAUACCCUGGUA